rnacentral:rRNA from 1 species
UACGGAGGGUGCGAGCGUUGUUCGGAAUCACUGGGCGUAAAGGGCGCGUAGGCGGCUCGGCACGUCCGUUGUGAAAUCGCCCGGCUCAACUGGGCGGGGUCAGCGGAUACGGUCGAGCUUGAGCAAGCUAGGGGGCAAUGGAAUUCCCGGUGUAGUGGUGGAAUGCGUAGAUAUCGGGAGGAACACCAGUGGCGAAGGCGGUUGCCUGGGGCUUUGCUGACGCUGAUGCGCGAAAGCGUGGGGAGCGAUCCGG